UACGAAGGGGGCUAGCGUUGUUCGGAAUUACUGGGCGUAAAGCGCACGUAGGCGGAUCUUUAAGUCAGGGGUGAAAUCCCAAGGCUCAACCUUGGAACUGCCUUUGAUACUGGGGAUCUCGAGUCCGGAAGAGGUUGGUGGAACUGCGAGUGUAGAGGUGAAAUUCGUAGAUAUUCGCAAGAACACCAGUGGCGAAGGCGGCCAACUGGUCCGGUACUGACGCUGAGGUGGCGAAAGCGUGGGGAGCAAACAGGG
rnacentral:rRNA from 1 species